rnacentral:tRNA from 1 species
GGGAAUGUGGCUUAAUGGCAGAGUGCUUGCCUAGCAUGCAUGAAGUCCUGGGUUCGAUUCCUCAGUACCA